AGUUCUGGUAGGAUCAGAACAUACUUACCAGCAGCGUUUCUUCCGAAUCUAACUCCAAAGGGAACUCCAAGAGAGAUUCUAGCAUAUGGCUUUGAAAUUGUCUGCCUCCUCAUGGGCUCUGUGACCAAUUAAAGACCGUGGCAAAUUCUUUUCAUCAAGAGAUAGGGUCUAUGCCUUUUCUCCCUGAAUCUGGAUGGACUCUGUGUGACUAUUUUGAGCAAGAGAAUUUGCUGUAAGUGAUGCUGUGCCAGUAUCCUGCCCAGGCCUUACGAUAUUGGCAGCUUCCUUUCCUGUCUUUUGGAACAUUUGCCCUUGCAACCCUGAGCUUCAUGUAAGAAGUCUGACUACUCUGCUGGAGAGGCCUCCUGAAGAGUACUCAAGAAUGCACCAAAAAAAAGUAGGGGAUCGGCUCAGGUGUCAGUUUGGCCACUGGAAUAUGUAGAUCUGAAAUAUUAAAAAAAAAACGGAUGCACUACUAUAAGGUUGAAAACCACUGCUCUACGGCCAUCUCUUCAGGGCAAGGUGAGUCAACAGA